UACGGAGGUGGCGAGCGUUACUCGGAUUUAUUGGGUGUAAAGGGCAGGUAGGCGGCCAGGCAAGUUGAAGGUGAAAUCCCCUGACUCAAUCAGGGAACUGCCUUCAAAACUACCAGGCUUGAGGCCGGAAGAGGAAAGCGGAAUUCCCGGUGUAAGGGUGAAAUCUGUAGAUAUCGGGAGGAACACCUGUGGCGAAAGCGGCUUUCUGGGCCGGCUCUGACGCUAAUCUGCGAAAGCUAGGGGAG
rnacentral:rRNA from 1 species